UAGCCUAGUGGUUAAGGCUAUGGAUCGCCAAUCCGGAGAUGGUGGGUUCGAUUCCCGU
rfam:Aedes albopictus isolate Foshan contig20117, whole genome shotgun sequence.